CAAUAGCGUAUAUUAAAGUUGUUGCGGUUAAAAAGCUCGUAGUUGGAUUUCUGCUGAGAACGACCGGUCCGCCCUUUGGGUGUGUAUCUGGCUCUUUCUUGGCAUCUUCUUGGUGAACGUUGCUGCACUUGACUGUGUGGAGCGCUACCCAGGACUUUUACUUUGAGGAAAUUAGAGUGUUUCAAGCAGGCAUACGCCUUGAAUACAUUAGCAUGGAAUAAUAAGAUAGGACCUCGGUUCUAUUUUGUUGGUUUCUAGAGCUGAGGUAAUGAUUAAUAGGGAUAGUUGGGGGCAUUCGUAUUUAACUGUCAGAGGUGAAAUUCUUGGAUUUGUUAAAGAUGGACUACUGCGAAAGCAUUUGCCAAGGAUGUUUNCAUUGA
rnacentral:rRNA from 1 species